rnacentral:rRNA from 1 species
UACGUAGGGUGCGAGCGUUAAUCGGAAUUACUGGGCGUAAAGCGUGCGCAGGCGGUUUUGUAAGCCAGGUGUGAAAUCCCCGGGCUCAACCUGGUAAUGGCAUUUGGGACUGCAAGGCUGGAGUGCGGCAGAGGAGACUGGAAUUCCUGGUGUAGCAGUGAAAUGCGUAGAUAUCAGGAGGAAUACCGAUGGCGAAGGCAGGUCUCUGGGCUGACACUGACGCUCAUGCACGAAAGCGUGGGGAGCAAACAGG